GACGUAGGGUGCAAGCGUUGUCCGGAUUUACUGGGCGUAAAGAGCGCGUAGGCGGUCUGUUAAGUGUAGAGUGAAAUCUCCAGGGCUCAACCCGGAAACUGCUCUGCAUACUGGCAGACUUGAGGGACUGAGAGGUGAAUGGAAUUCCUGGUGUAGCGGUGAAAUGCGUAGAUAUCAGGAGGAACACCCAUGGCGAAGGCAGUUCACUGGCAGUCUCCUGACGCUGAGGCGCGAAAGCGUGGGUAGCAAACAGG
rnacentral:rRNA from 2 species